UUUAACGGCCGCGGUAUUUUAACCGUGCGAAGGUAGCGUAAUCACUUGUCUUUUAAAUGGAGACCUGUAUGAAUGGCAUAACGAGGGCUUAACUGUCUCCAUUUUCCAGUCAAUGAAAUUGAUCCCCCCGUGCAGAAGCGGGGAUAAACACAUAAGACGAGAAGACCCUGUGGAGCUUUAGACUUAAAGAUGGCCCAUGUUAACUUAACCUAACCUAACAAGAAAAAACCAAUUGGUAACCUUCUUAAUGUCUUCGGUUGGGGCGACCACGGGGUAAUAAAAAACCCCCAUGUGGAAUGAGAAAACUUUUUCUCAUAACCUAGACUGACAAGUCCAAGCAUCAGAAUAUCUGACCAAUAAUGAUCCGGCAACGCCGAUCAACGAACCAAGUUACCCCAGGGAUAACAGCGCAAUCCUCUCCUAGAGCCCAUAUCGACGAGAGGGUUUACGACCUCGAUGUUGGAUCAGGACAUCCUAAUGGUGCAGCCGCUAUUAAGGGUUCGUUUGUUCAACGAUUAAAGUCCU
rnacentral:rRNA from 1 species